UUGUAGUACUGGGACUCUAACCAUAGGCCAUGAAUCUGGUCUUGGGACACUGUCAGGUGGGCAGUUUGACUGGGGCGGUCGCCUCCCAAAAGGUAACGGAGGCGCUCAAAGGUUCUCUCAGGACGGUCGGAAAUCGUACGUAGAGUGUAAAGGCAAAAGAGAGCUUGAUUGCAAGACA
rnacentral:rRNA from 1 species